GAGUUUGUGGGUCGCCGACGGUCCGGCUGCCCCCGCCUCCUUCCGUCUGAUCCGCGCUCUCCCGCGGCUGCGCCGGCUCGGCCGCCCGGGAGACAAAGCACCGCCGCUGCCGCCGCCGCAACCGAGCAGGUCCCGGGCCAUGGCCGGGCCGCUCCCCGGUUCCCGUCCCGCCACUGCUGCCGUCGCCCUAGUCCGCGCCGUGAGGUUUUUGAGCACCAACUACAUGCCAGGCACUGGAAUUCAGACAGAGAACCUCCGCCCUCCUAGAGCAGCAAAAAUGACCCAGAUGUGGAAGCAGAGGCCCAGAGAGGCUUAAAGCUUGCCUGGGGUCACACAGCCUGGACACUACAGAGCUGACAUUUGAACCCAGAGAAGAGCAAGCCGAAACCAGAACUGAGCAGAGGGCAGGGAAGUGAGCAGUGGCCUGAGAGAUAAGAGUAGAAGGGCAUUCUUGCUUCUAAAAAGAGACACAAUGAAGAGCUCUGGAAGUAAGCUAUGUCUGAAGCCUGGAGCCAUGGUAGCCAUCUCGUGAUCCUGAAGUAGGCCACGUUAAGGAAAACAUCCCCUGCUGAGUUUAGCACACACUGGAAAAUAUCCUUGACCUGCUGCAUCAAUGGACCUGAGAACCCGCCCUUCUUCUGGAAGUCCUGUUGUUUGAGGGGUCAGCUGAGAUGCCUCCUCCUCCAGGAAGCCUUCCAGGAUCCCCCUAUUCACGCUCUCGUGGUGUUUCCACCACUGAAGCACUGAGCACACAGCAGAUGGACAGCUACUGCAGACACAAUGUCAACACCAAAGCUAAUAAUGGGUCCAGAGGGAGCUUUGGUUCCCAGAGCCCAGGGGGCACCUACGUCUACAGGUUCUUAGGUGACUUGUGUGUGUCAGAUGAGGCUUCCUCCUCCACUCCUGCCCCCACCUACAACCCGCGGCCACAUCCUGAGGAUUUCUGACUUCUGACCUCCGGAGCUGCAAACCAAGUGUCCAAAAGGCCUCUCUUUGGCUUUACUUUGGAGCAAUUAGUUACCCUAACCAAGGAGGAGUUCACUCAUCAUUUCAUUCCCACCGCAAGGACGUGUGGAAAAACUGGGGUGAUCAGAAGUUUUCCAGACAAAGAGGAAAGGUCUGUCUUGGGAUGCCACGUGCCCUUGGCUCACGGGUGAAUAAUGUUUAAUGCCACUUAGGGAACUCUCUUGACAUUAUUGGUCAAGAAAAAACAAACCUCCUGCAGCUUGAUACACAGAGAGACUCACCAUCAUGGGUUGAAGGAACCCAACCCCCACUCAUGAAAACAGUACGGAACACUGAGCCCUUAUGUGCCACACACUGUCUUAUGUGUUUUACAUGCAUCAUCAUUCCUGAUAAUGACCCUUUGAGUUGGCUGCUGUGAUACCCCCAUUUUACAGAUGGGGAGACCGAGGCCCUAGUUACACAGCUGGGAAAGGGGCACUGCUGUGUUGGCCACCAGAAAGCCCCUCUUGGCACUUUUCCAUCAGGAGUCUAGAGGCACCCGCCACUCACACACUCCACUGAGGUGGGCACAGCUUGUAAACUGGCUGGUCUUAGGGCCACGGCCUGUGGCCCCCGAUUGGGGCAGGGCACAGUCUCAGCUCCUCAGAUCUAGACCCCAGAGUCUAACCAGCUUCCACCUUCUGCAAUGAGUGGAACGUGUAUUCCAAUCCUUCCAUCUUCCUUUGUUGGAGCCCACAGCACAAUCACCAACCGAGAUGCCCACAGGACCUGGGCAGGUGGUGCAGGUGCAGACACAUGUCCUAAUGGGGAGGGCCACUCCCCAGCUAGCUGCUGUCAUGUUGGAAUGUGGGCCCUGUGUGGCCAGAUCUUACUGUUUUCCAGUGAAGCCAGUAAUCAAGAUUUUUAAUGAAAUUAGAACAUUCUUUAACGCCAUACACAAAAAUAAACUCAAAAUGGAUUAAAGACCUAAAUGUAAGACUGGAUACUAUAAAACUCUUAGAGAAAACACUCUUUGACAUAAUCGCAGCAGUAUCUUUUUCGAUUCGUCUCCUAGAGUAAUGGAAAUUAAAAAAAAUAAUAAACAAAUGGGACCAAAUUAAACUCAAAUGCUUUUGCACAGAAAAGGAAACCAUAAACAAAACGAAAAGACAACCCACAGAAUGGGAGAAAAUACGUGCAAACGAUGCUACUGACAAGGGAUUAAUCUCCAAAAUUUACAAACAGCUCAUGCAGCUCAAUAUCAAAAAAACAAACAACCCGAUCAAAAAAUGGGCAGAAGACCUAAAUAGACAUUUCUCCAAAGAAGACAUACAGAUGGCCAAGAGGCACAUGAAAAGAUGCUCAACGUUGCUAAUUAUUAGAGAAAUGUAAAUCAAAACUACAAUGAGAUAUCACCUCACACCAGCAGAAUGGCCAUCAUCCAAAAGUCUACAAACAAUAAAUGCUGGAGAGGGUGUGGAGAAAAGGGAACCCUCCUACACUGCUGGUGGGAAUGUAAAUUUGUACAGCCACCAUGGAGAACAGUAUGGAGGUUCCUUAAGAAACUAAAAAUAGAGCUACCACGUGAUCUAGCCCACUCCUGGACAUAUAUCCGGUGAAAAACACGGUUUGAAAGGAUACAUGUACCCCAGUCUUCACUGCAGUGCUGUUUACAAUAGCCAAGACAUGGAAGCAACCUAAAUGUCCAUUGACAGAUGAAUGGAUAAAGAAGAUGUGGUACAUAUACACAAUGGAAUAUUACUGAGCCAUAAAAAAGAAUGAAACGAUGCCAUUUGCAGCAACAUGGAUGGAUCUGGAGAUGAUCAUACUAAGUGAAGUCAGACAGAGAAAGACAUGUCAUAUAACGUCGCUUAUAUGCGGAAUCUAAAAAAAUCAUACAGUUGGGCUCAUUUACAAAACAGAAACAGACUCAUAGACGUAGAGAACGAACUUACGGUUACCAGAGGGGGAAGGAUGGGGGGGAGGGGUAGAUUGGGAGUUUGGGAUUGAUAUGUACACACUGCAAAUUUAAACUAGAUAACCAACAAGGACCUAUUGUAUAGCACAGGGAACUCUGCUCUGUAAUAACCUACAUGGGAAAAGAAUUUGAAAAAGAAUAGAUACAUGUACAUGUAUAACUGAAUCACUUUGCUGUACACCUGAAACUAACACAACGUUGUUAAUCAGCUGUACUCUAAUAUUAAAUAAAAAUUAAAAAAGAAUAUAUUAAUACAAGAAAAUCACGAUUUUUAUGUGACAAGCCCCCAUAUUUUCAUGGUGGCAAAUGAAUUUAAAAACCAGUUUUUAAAAGUACCGUAAAACACCUAAGGGCCAGAUCUGACCCCCAAUUUGUACCCACAGCUCCAGAACAAAGCAAGCAGGACACGCAGAUGUUAUUAUACAAUUCUGUAUUGAGCGACGAUUUAUUACAGAACGUGUUCCUUUUUUUUUUUUUUUAAUUUAAACAAAGUUCAUCAAUCUCUCAUAGAAACAGUCUUGUGGGUUUUUGUUCUGUGUUUACCGUUAUAGGACGUGAACCUGACAAAGUUGUUCACAGGUCUGCUAGCUUUAAGUACAACAGGAUUUCCGUGUUCAAAAGACUAUACUAAGUGCUUAUUCAAAUCCCAUCACACAAAAGCCAGAUUUAGUCCUCUAAGGAUUGCAGUCUGCACGUAAGCCUGGAUUUCAAUGCUGCGUGGGUUUCAACAGUAAAAAGUGGUGUGUCCCCCACGGUUGCCUUAAUUGGGACAGGGUGGCUAAAAUGAGAUGUUUCGUUUGUUCCAGAUUUGAUUACUCUGAAAAUUGGUCACUGUUUCCUAUUGUCAAAAUAUAAAAAUACCUUCAUCUGGAUAAAAAUGUAUACAGUGGAAAACUCUUCAAUGCAUAGCCUGGGUGUAUGGAAAAGGAGGUUUUCCUGCAGGGUUUGCAUUGUUCUUCAUUGAUUGGUGUGGAGACUGCAGCCUGGGCUGGGUGCAUGAGAGUUGAGAUUUCUGGAACACCCCUCAAAUGACCCCUUCUGGUCACUGGAUUUUGCUGGCCUGGGUUUCAAAAUGUUCGCUGCAUCCUUGAAACCCCUGUCAGCCAUCUUUCCCCCUGGUACUGGGUUGGCACCGAUUAUGACCACUUUUUCAUCGUCAUUCUGGAUUCAGCUGGGAAGUCACCCAACUCAACCUUCCCACAGAGUUUGAAAAAGUAAAAGAAAUAAUAACAGGAGAGAUUCAACAACCAAUAUGGUGGCUGUUCCAUCCAAAUUGGGAACUCUUCCCCUAAAAACCAGGGUGAUGAAGACACUGGAGGGUGGGCUUCUUUGAGUUGAGGGGUUGAGUCUUUGUUCUCAAAAAGGUCAUGUGUUAGAAGGCAGGAAGUUGGACUUGAGACAGGGAUAUGGUGGUCAUGCUGAGGUGAACUCAACCUUUUAGCUUUAUUCUGCAUAAACCUGGAGGUGCAGACUUCCGGAAAGCAUCAGGGUCAACUUGAGAAAGAUGAUGAUGAGAAGGGGAGCUUGGGGUCUCUAGUUGGAUGAAUCUACUUCCUGGUGCUGGGUGCUGAGCUGGGUGUUUGUGGGACGACCAACGCUGUUAUUUUCUUAAAACACAAAGAGAGGAAGAUGGCGGCCACAGUCUUGCUCUGGAAAGCCAGUGGGGAAACUUCCUGCACUGUGGCCACGAUUCAGGCUGGGGGAUGGGGUCACUCUGGUUCGAGCGCCACCCUCUAAUCACCUACCCCCGUACCUGGCUUUCCGAAGGAUUCGGAACCACAUCUUGUCUACAGACGGACGAGGUGGAUUGUCUACCCCCUGCGGUCCACAGGUUUCUGACAAGAGGGAGUGCAAGCAGUUUGUUUUGUACCAUGUUACAUCUCAGAUAGGAUGGUCGGCCACAGCCCACAUCUCUACAACAUUUACAAUGGCAUGGGACAUUCUGUGUUAUCAAGGUUGCAUAACAGACCACCAGAAUGAAACACAUCCUCAACGGCAUCAAGGUUUUCAUUUAGAGUCUUCUGGACUUUCUCUUUUCAACAUGGUUUCUGGAAGGGCAGUAGCAAUGGACUGUGUCUCACAGACAGACAUGGGAAAAAACCGUGGUUCAAAGGUUAUCUGAAUUUUGGUCAGUCUUAUAGUGUUUUGUGAUGGCUUUGAACAACUGUCUCCUUUUAAUCUCAUCUAGUGGCAAAAAUGACACAACUUCAGUGUAUACUUCGCAACAGUUGUGACGGUAUCCUGAUUUCAUAACUCUCUGUAAUAUCAAAACAGCAUCAGCUGGGAAUAAAUUCCAAAGGAUCCUUUAUUAAAAUAUCUAAAAGAGGUCUAUAAAUAUUUACUUUUCUAAAAGAGUUUGGAGUUUCCAGGGGAAGAAUGUGGCGCCACUUUGCUUCUGCCUCCUGUAGAGGGGCCAGAGUGGAGAAGGGGGUGAUCCCCGGGGCAGGGGCUGCUGAAAAGGGGAAGCAGAGGCACCUGCCUCACCUGCUCACUCACGACUUCACGGAACCGGGAUCACAACCAAAACUGUCAAGCGGCGCGACACUGCGGUCCACGUUUUGAUGGCUGAGCUCCUCCCUUCCUGACCCCGCCCUGAGUGAGAGGGAAGGUGGCCCCCGCGGCGAGCCCCUUGCCCCCACCUUUAGAACUCCCACUCCAGGGCCUCCUCGCGAUUGGCAGCCCUCUCCAGCCGGUAGAUGAUGCUGUUCAGGUUGGCCAUCUUCUCAUGCCGCCGCUGCAAGUUGGGGUUCACCUUGGUGCUGGGGUGCAAGGCCCCGGUUGCGUCGGCAGUGGGGCUGGCACUCGGCACUUUGGCAGGGAGGGUGCCGGGUGGGGAUGGGGAGAUGGGGGCUGAAGAGGAAGGAACAGGUGACACAGACAUCAUGAGGCCCGGCGAGGAGGCAGCUGAGGGUGAGUUCAGUGACACCUCUAGGCUGCAGCGUGAGGACUCCGAGGCCGACUUAAAACUUAGAGGGUCCGGGUGUAGCCACUCCCCGCCCUCGCUCUCCUGGAGGGGCUGUAGCGAGGGGCAGGCUGGGGUGGCCCCGCCUGGAAGAAGGAGCCCAGGGGCUGCUUUUGGGAGUCCGUCGUUACCCAGAGGGUCAGGAUGCACCUCUUUGGGGGAAACUUGGCCUUUGUCCAGCUCCUUUGAGUCCUGGCUGCCGGCCUCUUCCUCAGCAUCCUCAGUCUGUUCCUGUUUAAUCCUCACUUGCGUCUUGUCCUGGGUGGUCAGGGGUGUGAUGCUCUCCUCGGGACCCUCCUGAAGCUUUAGUUCCUUCACAGUAGGCUUUUGGUCCUCAGCCUCAGAGUUGGGGCUCUGCGGAGUGGGGUCUGGGUGGGAGUGGCCUGGCGGUAGGAUGCCAGGACCCCCACUGGGGUCGAGAUCUGGUUCCUCUUGGGUCCCCUCCACCAACAUCUCCCGGCGCAUCCGGGACCUGGGGCAGAGACGGCGGUGAGCAAGGGGCUGGACAGGGACCGGCUAACCCUGGAGUCAAAUCACAUGAGUGGCCUUCUGACCCCACCCACUUCCCUGGGGGCUCACUAGGCAUAAGCUUCUUCACAUGCAGCAUCUUAGUAAGUCCUCUCAACAACUCUGCAAGGUGGGUGCUAUUAUUAUCCCCACUUCAUAGAGGAGGAAACAAGGCUCAGAGAUGUUGAAUGACUUGCCCCAGGUUUCACAGCCAGUAAGUGGCAGAACCAGGACUUGAACUCAGGAUUGUUGGAUCCCGAAGCUCACAAUCUAGACCUGUGCUGUCCAGUGCAGUGGCCACUGGUCACAUGUGGCUCUCUCAUUAUUAAAGUUUUUAUACUGAUCACAUGUUGAAAUGGUUAUAUCUGUAUAUACUGAGCUAAAUAAAAUAUACUAUUACAUUAAUUUCACCUGUUUCUUUUUAUUUUUAACGUGGUUACUAGAAAA